CUGAAUAUCAGAAGCUUUUAGCGACUAGGUUGAAGGAGCAAAGGGAAAGGCGAAGUGAGAGUUUGGCGAAGAAGAGGUCUAGACUUUCUGCCGCUUCCAAGCCAUCUAUUGCCGCGUAAGAUCAUUGAGAAGCAGCACUCCGUGAUAUGUCUUUUAUAGCUAUUGCUGGAUGUGGCUCUUUUGGUAGCUUUUAAUGUGCUGAGAUGAUGAGUAGUGUAUCGUUUACUAUGUGUGAUCUUUCUGAUCAAAGAUUUUGGUUGUUUAGUACUUGCUGAAUGAAAUCCUCCU
rnacentral:lncRNA from 1 species